rnacentral:rRNA from 1 species
GUAGGGGGCAAGCGUUAUCCGGAUUUACUGGGUGUAAAGGGAGCGUAGACGGCAAGGCAAGUCUGAAGUGAAAGCCCGGUGCUUAACGCCGGGACUGCUUUGGAAACUGUUCAGCUAGAGAACAGAAGAGGACGGCGGAACUCCAUGUGUAGCGGUAAAAUGCGUAGAUAUAUGGAAGAACACCGGUGGCGAAGGCGGCCGUCUGGUCUGUUGCUGACACUGAAGCACGAAAGCGUGGGGAGCAAAUAGGAUUAGAUACCCUAGUAGUCCACGCCGUAAACGAUGAGAACUAGGUGUUGGGGGAAUAACUCAGUGCCGCAGUUAACGCAAUAAGUUCUCCGCCUGGAGAGU